rnacentral:rRNA from 1 species
GGCGUACUGCUCAGUAACACGUGGACAACCUACCUCCGGACGGGUAUAAACCCGGGAAACUGGGUAUAAUCCCCGAUGGAUCUCGGUCGCUGGAAUGCCCCGAGAUCGAAAGCUCCGGCGCCAGAGGAUGGGUCUGCGGCCUAUCAGGUAGUAGUGGGUGUAGCGUACCUACUAGCCUACGACGGGUACGGGUUGUGAGAGCAAGAGCCCGGAGAUGGAUUCUGAGACACGAAUCCAGGCCCUACGGGGUGCAGCAGGCGCGAAAACUUUACAAUGCCGGCAACGGCGAUAAGGGGACCUCGAGUGCCAGGUUACAAAUCUGGCUGUCGUGAUGCCUAAAAAGCAUUGCAUAGCAAGGGCCGGGCAAGACCGGUGCCAGCCGCCGCGGUAACACCGGCGGCUCGAGUGGUAACCGUUAUUAUUGGGUCUAAAGGGUCUGUAGCCGGCC